GCACAUUAAGUAACAAAUUGUUCCAAAGAUCUUCUGUUUUUUGUCAUCGAUGCACAGAGUCACACGAAGGGCAGCGGGGAGAAAAUGCACACAUUCCUCUUCCUCUCUGUAGAAAAGGGGAAUGAAUUAAAAUGUCUGCUGGACGUGCAGGAGCCUCUCAACCCCCAACCCAACCUCCUCCUCCCGGAUCCAGGCCAGUUCAGCCUAGCCAUGCGUGGUCAUCUCUGGGAAUUCAUUCCGGAUGCUUCCUGUUCAUUGCAUCCACUCCUUUUUCUAUCUGUCACUCCACCCCCAUCUAUAUGUCUUCCUCUUUACUAUCUGUCCCAUAAAUCAUCUCUAUCUUCUGAAGCACAUGCUGAAAUUUACAUUUUUCUCUUACUUGUUAAACAUUUUAAUGUCUAAAUUAUGCCACUUGGUUUGGAAUUUUGCAACAGCACUAAAUUCCAUUUAAAGUCCAAAUUCAAAGACAUUAUUCAAACCAAGCUCAGAAAAUUUGGCUACAUUUACCACUAACUAAUUCUUUUUUUUGUGGCUUGACCAAGACCUGAUUUAUGUGCCUAAAGUGAUAUUACCAGAAAAGCAUGUGAUAUCUUUUUUUGAUCACACAAACUAUAAAAUUCUGACAAAGGUCUUACUGCCAAUGGAUUUACACGCCUGAAGUGAAGCUACUGUACAGUAUAUCCUACAUACCACAGGCAAAAGCUACAUAUAUUUCAAUCUUUCAGUGGCUGACAGAAGUGAGCUGCUUAUUUUGUUGGGAAAGACAAUGGCACAAAUAUCCAAAGUUUUUCUUUUCAUUCUAAAGUUUCAGCAGGAACCACUGAGGAGCGCACAACACAUUCCCACCACCCCAAACUCCCGCUGUGCAUCCAAAGCUGCCUUUCAGCACAGUCAGUGGAGACAGCAGCUGGGAACAUUAAAAUGCUACUACAAGCAUCUUCUUUACUCUGAUAUUGUGUCUGUAGCCUAUUUUCCAAAGUGUGCCUACACACUGUAAAAUUACAGCGCUACAGUUUUCCUGCAGUAUUGACUGCAUGUGCUCUGUCAGCCAUGUGAGGAUGAAGUAAAGUGGCACUUUAUCCCUUA